rnacentral:rRNA from 1 species
CCUACGGGAGGCAGCAGUGGGGAAUAUUGGACAAUGGGCGCAAGCCUGAUCCAGCCAUGCCGCGUGUGUGAAGAAGGCCUUCGGGUUGUAAAGCACUUUUAUCCGGAAAGAAAAGCUUUGGGUUAAUACCCUGAAGUCAUGACGGUACCGGAAGAAUAAGCACCGGCUAACUUCGUGCCAGCAGCCGCGGUAAUACGAAGGGUGCAAGCGUUACUCGGAAUUACUGGGCGUAAAGCGUGCGUAGGUGGUUUGUUAAGUCUGAUGUGAAAGCCCUAGGCUCAACCUGGGAAUUGCAUUGGAUACUGGCAGGCUAGAGUGCGGUAGAGGAUAGUGGAAUUCCCGGUGUAGCAGUGAAAUGCGUAGAGAUCGGGAGGAACAUCUGUGGCGAAGGCGACUAUCUGGGCCAGCACUGACACUGAGGCACGAAAGCGUGGGGAGCAAACAGGAUUAGAUACCCUGGUAGUCCACGCCCUAAACGAUGCGAACUGGAUGUUGGGUGUAACCUAGGCACUCAGUAUCGAAGCUAACGCGUUAAGUUCGCCGCCUAGGGGAGUACGGUCGCAAGACGNGAACGUACGAAGAAGUUAGACGGACGUGAGACGUACGACCGACGGACGACGACGAGGGGAGGAGGG